GGCUGAUGUCAAGGUAGUGAGUUAUCUCACUUGAUUGUUAACAGUCAGUUACAGAUUGAACUCCUUGCUCUAUUCUUUCCUCUCUUCUCACUACUGCACUUGAUGAACCUUAA
ensembl:misc_RNA Y_RNA Y RNA